rnacentral:misc_RNA from 1 species
GAUGAAGAACGUAGCGAAAUGCGAUAAGUAAUGUGAAUUGCAGAAUUCAGUGAAUCAUCGAAUCUUUGAACGCACAUUGCGCCCGCCAGUAUUCUGGCGGGCAUGCCUGUCUGAGCGUCAUUUCAACCCUCAUGCCCCUAGGGCGUGGUGUUGGGGAUCGGCCAAAGCCCGCGAGGGACGGCCGGCCCCUAAAUCUAGUGGCGGACCCGUCGUGGCCUCCUCUGCGAAGUAGUGAUAUUCCGCAUCGGAGAGCGACGAGCCCCUGCCGUUAAACCCCCAACUUUCCAAGGUUGACCUCAGAUCAGGUAGGGAUACCCGCUGAACUUAAGCAUAUCAAUAAGCGGAGGA